CAAUAGCGUAUUUUAACGUUGUUGCAGUUAAAAGGCUCGUAGUCGAACUUAUGGUUUUUCCAGGUGGUCCAAGAGUUUUUACACUCUUUGUGUACCACUUUCAAAAUCAUCCUUUUGGAAGAAUUUAUGUGCCCUUGAUUGGGUGUCAUAGAGGAUCCAGAUCUUUUACUGUGAGUAAAUCAGAGUGUUCAAAGCAGGCUUUAUGCUUGUAUGCUGUAGCAUGGAAUAAUAAGAUAGGACUUUUGUCUUAUUUUGUUGGCUUUUAGGACAAAAGUAAUGAUGGAUAGGAAUAAUCGGGGGUGCUAGUAUUUAACGGUCAGCGGUGAAAUGCAUGGACCCGUUAAAGACUAACUUAUGCGAAAGCAUUCACCAAGGAUAUUUNCUUUGA
rnacentral:rRNA from 1 species